GGAACAUAGCUCAGUAUUAGAGCAUGUGCCUUGCAUGCAGAAGGUCCCAGGUUCAAUCCCCGGGCAUCACCA